AAGAGAAGGUGUGUGAGAAGAAUGGCAAUGGGAAGAUACUUUGGGCCGCCCCAGCACGGGGGAGGAGCUCCGAGGUACGAGAAACGACUGGGGGCGCAUGGCGGAGCCAAAGACCGUACCAAAGUGGGAGGAGGGCUGAAUGACACAAGGUGAUACCAAGUCGGCUCCCUAAUGGGAGUCGGGGAACCUCACCUACAGCCCCGGGCCGCUACCAAGAGACCCGAGGGCGAGGGUAGCACCACGCGUGAGGGGAGGACUUAAAGCUUGGAGGGGUGACGUGGCUAGGGGACCACAACUCCCAGCGAGCCCCAUGGGGACUUGGGCGGGACCAUCGGCCCCUGGAAACCCCUCCAGUCACAGCUAUGCGCCCAGGCCCCACCCCCUGCAUCGCCUUCAAGCUUCUGUCUCUCCGCUAUUCGUUGAUUCACUCAUCUAAAAUUAAGUGCGUAGUCACUUACUAGUCAUUGUGUACGAUUUCUUCCUUCAGUCUUUUUUCCUCUAGUGUGAUAAUAUUCCAACCUUAGAGUGGUUAUAAGAAGUGAAUUUAAUAAAGUGUCAGGAUCAGUGCUUGGCACAAUAACUCUUGUUACCUUUUAAGAAGAAAAAAAAAUCCUAUUAUUAAUACCUUGGCUGGUUCUAUGCUGGGCGGUGAGUGUACUGCGAUGAUCAGAUCACACCAGGUCCCUCUAUGAGCCUGUGAUCCAUUGGGGAAAACAAAUAUUACAAGUUGCAAUGCUUGUUGAGUAGAGCAAAUGCACAGCUCAAUGGGCUGAGGACCAGGGGGACAAUUUAACAAGGGAAGUUAGGAAAGUGACCUUUAGCAACUUGCAAUUCCAGAUAAAAUGGAAGAGUGUGCUAAAUGGGGGUACAAAGACACAAGUCUUUAAAGUGGAUGAAAAAAAUGGGAGACAGGUACAGCUAGAGCAGAGUGAGGGUAAAGGAGAACUGGUACUUUUUUAUAAACAAAUCAUUCCUAAAAUGCACAUAAUCACACUAUAAGACUACAGAAGCUGGGUGCAGUGGCAUGCACCUUUAAUCCCAGCAGAUUGGGAGGCUGAGUUAGGAAUAUCACAAGAUCAAAGCCAGCUUCAGCAACAACUUAAGGCUUUAAGUAAUUCAGGGAGACCCCGACUCUAAAUAAAAUAUAAAAAAAGAGCUGGGGAUGUGACUCAGUGGUUAAGCAACCCCUGGGUUCAAUUCUGAAUGCAAAAAAAAAAGACUACAGAAACAGCAUGGUUCCACAGUUAGCUCUAAAGAGAGAAGACAGAUGAUAGGGGGAAAUAAAGUGGCCUACACCGGUGAAAUGCAGAUUCUGUUUAUUCUUCUCUUAGCAAGUGUUAUCUACUGAAGAAUUACUUUUGGAAGGUUUAACUUUUAAUAUUUUUUUAAAGGAUCCCUCUGGCUGUUGUUUUGAAAAUAACAGUGAAAACAGAAGAACUGAGAGGCUGUAGCAAUAAUCUGGGCAAGAGGCAUGGACAGGAUGCAUCAAGGGCAAGAUGGCUGCAGUGGGGCUGACCUCAUCAGGACACACGUGGGGAUGAAUGCCCAGGACUAUACACACAUGGAGAGAGCUAUACCAGGAUAUACUCCAGGGUGACCAAACUGGAAACUCAUGUCAAAAGUCUCACUAAACUGCUAAGGCUGGCUUUGAACCUGCAAUCCUCCCGCCUCAGCCUCCAGAGCCACUGGGAUUACAGGUGUGAGCCACAGUGCCAGGUUUACCUGCUGUUCUCUAGAUGCAUUCAGCCCCUCUGCUGUGCAGCAGUAAAUACGUGUUAUGAUGAAAUAGUGCUCUGCCUGCAACACCUCAUUUUUUAAAAAGAUUCUUGGAAAAUCAAGCAGUUAAUGAUUCGUUUUUAUUUUUCUUUUCUUUUUUGGUUUUGGUUUGGUUUUCAGUAUGAUGGAUGGCACCCAGAGACUCGCACAUGCCAGGCAAGCUGCAACCUCAACUCUGAACUACAUCCACAGCCCUUUUUUAUACUGAGACAGGGUCUCACUAAGUUGCCAAGGUUGGCCUUUUAAUUUAUACUCCUCCUGCCUCAGCCUCUGAAUACUACCCUCAUUUGAAUGGGGAAACCAAAGCUCAGGAGGCAAAAGGCUAAGCUCACAGACUGAGAUGGGUAUGGAGGGAGCAGGGCCAGAUGUUACCUGAACAUCAGCAGAAGGUGCUGGUAUUCACUUGGUGGGAAAAAUAUGGGGCAUGAGCAGUGAACACCCUCACCUUUCAUUCUGACCCACCUGUAACUGUCAACACAGGGCUGGGAUAUCCCCACUUCUCACUGCAGCCUUUCACAGCUGCUGCUCAGCCACCCCAGCACACACCACUCCAGAUGCUCCCGGGCUACCAAGGCGCCCACUUCUCACAUCAAGGGCAAGAAGCGCUGAACCUGCCACGCACUGCCCAUCCCCGUGGCUGCCAGGGUAGUCCACACCAGGUAAAGUGGUAAGAAACAGAUUGGUACAGCUGUUGAUGGGCAGCAUGGAAAUGCCUUAUGGAAGGGGUGAGGUGUCAGUUCCGUCUCAGUUUAAAAUAGGUACUGAGGAGACUGGGGCUGUGGCUUAGCGGUAGAGCGCUCGCCUAGCACAUUCGAGGACAUGGAUUUGAUCCUCAGCACCACAUAAAAAUAAAGAGAAUAAUGGUAUUGUGUCCAAC